rnacentral:rRNA from 1 species
UACGGAGGGUGCAAGCGUUAAUCGGAAUUACUGGGCGUAAAGCGCACGUAGGCGGUAUGUUAAGUUGGAUGUGAAAGCCCCGGGCUCAACCUGGGAAUUGCAUACAAAACUGGCAUGCUAGAGUAUGUGAGAGGGGGGUAGAAUUCCAAGUGUAGCGGUGAAAUGCGUAGAGAUUUGGAGGAAUACCAGUGGCGAAGGCGGCCCCCUGGCACAAUACUGACGCUGAGGUGCGAAAGCGUGGGGAGCAAACAGG